CCUACGGGGGGCAGCAGUGGGGGAUAUUGCACAAUGGGGGAAACCCUGAUGCAGCGACGCCGCGUGGGUGAAGAAGUAUUUCGGUAUGUAAAGCCCUAUCAGCAGGGAAGAAAGAAGACGGUACCUGACUAAGAAGCCCCGGCUAACGACGUGCCAGCAGCCGCGGUAAUACGUAGGGGGCGAGCGUUAUCCGGAUCCACGGGGUGUAAAGGGAGCGUAGGCGGCCGUGCAAGCCAGGAGUGAAAGCCCGGGGCCCAACCCCGGGACUGCUCUUGGAACUGUGCGGCUGGAGUGCGGGAGGGGCAGGCGGAAUUCCUGGUGUAGCGGUGAAAUGCGUAGAUAUCAGGAGGAACACCGGCGGCGAAGGCGGCCUGCUGGACCGCGACUGACGUUGAGGCUCGAAGGCGUGGGGAGCGAACAGGAUUAGAUACCCUUGUAGUC
rnacentral:rRNA from 1 species